CUUCGGCCUACAUCAUAAGUAACGGAAUGGUAGUAAACAUUGGCUGGAGACCAGAGGCUAAGGCCAACUGGUAUAAAUACAAUGCCAAUGUAUGGAACACUCCUGCCAUCGCUACUCCAUUUUGAAAGCAUGUACAUCAUCUAAAGAAGUAUGGAGAACUGACAGCAAACACACUGAAGAGAGAACAUGCCCCUAAAACUCCCUCCACCAUCAAGCAGAGCACAUUACUGAAGACAAUGUCUCAAAAAUCCAUUGACAAAGCUGUGGUGAAGUAUGUGGUUCAAGGGCUCCAACCAUUCGCUGUUGUAGCAUAAGAACCGUUUAGAGAGUUUGUCCAGGAUCUGCAGCUUAACUCAAAAGAUCUUAUCAAGGCCCACACUGCGCUCCAGGAUUGAUGAAGUCUCCAAGGAAAUUAAUAAGAAGGUGACUGAGGCCAUGAGAGGAAUUGACCACAUCGCCACCACCACCGACUGCUGGUCUGCAAGAAGACCGAGCUUCAUUGGUGUUAUAUCCCACUGGAUAGACCCCGACAGUCUCAACAGAUGCUCUGCAGCCCUGCCUGUAAACGGUUGAGAGGAUCGCACACCUUUGAUGUGUUGGCAGGCGCCCUAAAUGACAUCUAUUCUGAGUUUGAAAUCCAGGUUAAGAUUGUGUGAACAACAACAGACAACGGCUCUAACUUGAAAGCUUUCCAAGUUUUUGGAGAAGGUGAAAACAAUGAGACACUGGAAGCAGUGAAGCAGCUCAGCCAAGACAGGAAGAUGGGGAAGAGGAACAAGAGGAGAGUGAAGAAGUGGAGUUUGUUGACGUGGCAACGAUCUUGAAUGAAGAUGAUGGUUUUGAGUACCAGCUGCAGAAGCACCAGCGCUGUGCUUACCACCUACUCAACUUAGUAUCUACAGUCGAUGCCCUGAAAGCAACAUCCAGUGAGGCUUACAAAAAAGUGUCCCAUUUAACAUUUGGCAAGUGCCAAGCACUUUGGAACAAAUGCGGAAGAUACACACUUGCAGCCAAAACGGUUGAAGAUGCUUGAGACCUCCAGCUGCUGCACCCAAAUGCUACGAGGCGGAACUCCUGGUUCAUGGCUGUAGAAAGACUCCUGAUGAUCGACAAAGGAGAGGCGGCCUUCAGAGUUCCCUGCACAGACUUCGAGGUUCCAAUGUUCAAUCCAGCUGCACUCAUCCUUCCUUACAGAGUAUGCUUCUACCAUGAGCCCAGUUGCAAAUGCCAUCAACAUCCUGCAGGCUGAAAUCAAUGUCCAGAUGUGGUGGCUACUUCCUACUAUUAACCUGCUGAUCACAAAAAUUGACUGAAUCAAGUUGUCUCUGAAGUACUGUAAGCCUCUGGUGGAUGUGCUACAACUGGGACUGAAGAAGCGCUUAAGCCACGUAUUUCACGACACUGAGCUGAUCGAAUCAAAUCCAAUUUAUUUAUAUAGCCCUUUGUACAUCAGCUGAAAUGUCAAAGUGCUGUACAGAAACCCAGCCUAAAACCCCAAACAGCAAGCAAUGCAGGUGUAG